CCUACGGGAGGCAGCAGUGAGGAAUAUUGGUCAAUGGCCGGAAGGCUGAACCAGCCAUGCCGCGUGAAGGUCAGUGCCCUAUGGGCGUUAAACUUCUUUUGUGCGGGAGCAAUAAUGGUCACGUGUGGCCAGACGAGAGUACCGUACGAAUAAGCAUCGGCUAACUACGUGCCAGCAGCCGCGGUAAUGCGGGGGAUGCAAGCGUUAUCCGGAUUUAUUGGGUUUAAAGGGUGCGUAGGCUGUGAGGUAAGUCAGCGGUGAAAUGCCCCCGCUCAACGGGGUGAAGUGCCAUUGAUACUGCCUGGCUGGAAUGCGGAUGCCGUGGGAGGAAUGUGUGGUGUAGCGGUGAAAUGCAUAGAUAUCACACAGAACACCGAUUGCGAAGGCAUCUCACGAAUCCGCGAUUGACGCUGAUGCACGAAAGCGUGGGUAUCAAACAGGAUUAGAUACCCCAGUAGUC
rnacentral:rRNA from 1 species